UGGGGAAUAUUGGGCAAUGGGCGCAAGCCUGACCCAGCAACGCCGCGUGAAGGAAGAAGGCCCUCGGGUUGUAAACUUCUUUUUGUCAGGGACGAAGCAAGUGACGGUACCUGACGAAUAAGCCACGGCUAACUACGUGCCAGCAGCCGCGGUAAUACGUAGGUGGCAAGCGUUAUCCGGAUUUACUGGGUGUAAAGGGCGUGUAGGCGGGACUGCAAGUCAGAUGUGAAAACCAUGGGCUCAACCCAUGGCCUGCAUUUGAAACUGUAGUUCUUGAGUGUUGGAGAGGCAGGCGGAAUUCCGUGUGUAGCGGUGAAAUGCGUAGAUAUACGGAGGAACACCAGUGGCGAAGGCGGCCUGCUGGACAAUAACUGACGCUGAGGCGCGAAAGCGUGGGGAGCAAACAGGAUAGAUACC
rnacentral:rRNA from 1 species